GUGCCCUCCAGGUGAACAAGUGAUGGUAGACCAUGUGUUGGGGUCUGAGUCCUUCUUGAGCCCAACUUUGGUCCUGUCUCUUGAAGGAAAAGCAUCUCCUGGGAGCUCCCUCUGGGAUGUGAGCCUCCAUCCUGACCUCGUGGAUGCCCCUUUACCUCACCUAGAGGCGCCAAUGGUUCCUAUGUCUGCAGGCCCUGCCCUUGACUGCGGGAUGUUUCUCCCUCUGUGCAGCCUUCCCUGAAGAAAGGCUGGGUGCCAUGGCUUACCCUGUAAUCCCAGCACUUUGAGAGGCCGAGGCGGGCAGAUCACCUGAGGUCAGGAGUUCGAGACCAGCCUGACCAACAUGGAGAAACCUCGUCUCUACUAAAAAUACAAAAUUAGCCGGGUGUGGUGGCGCAUGCCUGUAAUCCCAGCUAUUUGGGAGGCUGAGGCAGGAGAAUCACUUGAACCCGGGAGGCGGAGUUUGCGGUGAGCCAAGAUCGUACCAUCGCACACCAGCCUGAGCAACAAGAGUGAAACUCCGUCUCAAAAAAUAAAAUUAAAUAAAAUUAAAUAUUUUCUUCUUU